AUGCAUCUCUGAUAGACCUGGAGCAGUUAAUGUUUCCAUUACAGAUGCAAGAAAAAGAAGGUCUUUGUACUUUGUCUGUCUGGUGGUGGCAGGCAAGACUGAAUGGGGGAAUACAGGA
rnacentral:snoRNA from 1 species